rnacentral:lncRNA from 1 species
AAGGACCAAAGGUCGAGUGUCGUGCGGCACAACAGUAGAGAGAGGGAGAGGUCACGUGAGAAACCCUAGCGGUACUUUUCAUCUUCUUCGCGGGGCUGCCCCUGCCCACGCCGGCGCCGCGUCCGCACCGGCCACCGUGCCGGCACCGCCUCCGCCAGCCGCAACCGAGCCCCCGCUACUACGAUUCCGCCACCGCUGCUUCGCCGUUCUCCCCGUGAAGCUUGCCGCGACGACCCGACGCCGGCAGAUCUGAGCUGAGCUCGCCUCCGCUCGCGACCCAGUGCCGUCGCUGAACUCCCGCGACGCCCGACGCCGCCGCUUCCCUCCUGCCGUCGCUCGUCCGGCAGCCAGCCCCCAAGCGCGUCGUCAGCCACCGCCGCUACCUACCUGACCCCGUGCCGUCGCCGCAGCUCCCGCGACGCCCGACCCGCGCUGCCCUUCCUCCGACCAGCGACCCGACGCCCGCAGCAGCCCGAGCAACGCAUUCCCUGCCCUAGCCCGAAUCGAGCUGCUCCACCCUCCGCUCGGCGACCUGCUCCUCAGCCGCCGGGCUGCCAACGCCGCCGGUCUACCCUCGCUGCUAGCCCGCUCGCCGCCGGUGUGCCUGCUGUGCCCUCGCCGGAGCUCCGAACCGGCCGCCAAGCUUAAAAAAGAAAAGAAAAGAAAUCAAAUUAGG